GAUGAACGCUGGCGGCGUGCCUAAUACAUGCAAGUCGAGCGAACAGAUGAGGAGCUUGCUCCUCUGACGUUAGCGGCGGGCGGGUGAGUAACACGUGGAUAACCUACCUAUAAGACUGGGAUAACUUCGGGAAACCGGAGCUAAUACCGGAUAAUAUAUUGCAACGCAUGGUUCAAUAGUGAAAGACGGUUUUGCUGUCACUUAUAGAUGGAUCCGCGCCGCAUUAGCUAGUUGGUAAGGUAACGGCUUACCAAGGCAACGAUGCGUAGCCGACCUGUGAGGGGGACGGCCCCCGCGGGAGCUGAGACCCGGUCCCGGCCCCGAGGGGAGGCAACGAGUGGGAAGCUUCGGCGAAGGGGGAAAGCCUGCCGGAGCAGCGCCGGGGGGAGGAAGAAGGGUUGCGGGCCGUAAAACGUUUUUAUUGGGGAAAAAAAAAUGUGUAAGUAACUAAGCCCGUUUUGACGGGACCGAAAAAGAAAGCCCGGGUAAACACGGU
rnacentral:rRNA from 1 species